rnacentral:rRNA from 1 species
GUAAAGUUUUGUUUAAACCGAAAAAAUAUUGACUGACUUUAGAUUUUUCUCUGGAAUAUGUGUUUUUUUGGAAGCCCUCUUUUAUAGUGAAUUUUGUUGGCGCAUGUAUGAUUGUUUAGUUUUUACUUUUUUGGUAAUGCUUUGUGUUUUAUACAUUUAAAACAGAUAUAUAUUUGGCUUAUGGAUUUAUUUUUCAUGUGUUACUAUUGUUAAUUUUCUUUGGAUUAAUUUUUAAUUUUUUUGUUGAAAUUGGAAAAGAAAGUAA